GCAGUUACCCUUGGGGCGUCGGGGUGGGGAGGGGUUGGCGACGGGGACGGAAGAACGGGGAAAGGCGGGGCCGGCGGCCGCGCCAGGAGCUAGCGUAGCUUCUGCCGUUAGGGCACCCUCCUUCCUUGCUAAACACCGACUCUCCCGUCAGCCUCCAUGUGGUGUUGUGUGUGCGCUUCCCAGUUUUCCUGAGAGUGAAGAUCUCGAAGGAUUUCAUAGGUAUUUUUUUUCUUUGCUAUGUCAUCGUAGUCAGUGGUGGCAGAAAAGCGCUGAAGGCCCGGCUCGUUAGGCGUGAGAGUGGCCAAAGUGUUUGAGUUAGGUAUGGGGCAGUUCACCCUGUGGCGAGUUAGGGUGGAAUGUUUGCCCUUGGGACGGCGUAACGGAAAGGCACGGAGGUUGGGCGGUCCAGGUUAAUUUGAAGGCUGAUUUUGGCUGAAGGUCUGGCGACAGCAUCGGAUCCCACGUAGCAACUUUGGCCUGGCGCAAAAGAAGGAAGCUCUAACCCUUGGGAGUCUGGACAAAGGCUUUGGGCUAUAGAAGCGAUUCCUUCGGAUGAUCCCCAUUUGAGGAUGAUGGAUGUUAUGGGAAAUCCUGUGCCCUGUGGAUUCGUCUUCAUUUACAGUUCCUAUUAACGACUAUGGCUCUGUCGUCAUGCCUUUGGUUUUUAUUUUAACCAUCUACAUUAUAAAAGGAUAAAAGGCAGAUCUUCAUAAAGAAUAAUUGUGGACCGGGCUAGAUUAUUUUCUGCAAGGGAAACUCAUGCAUUUAGAAUUUCAUCAUAACUUUGGGUUUUAAGGAAUAGUCAUUUCCCCCCACCGUAUCUGGAGAAUGACUUGUUACUCUCUAGUUAAAAUCAGAUGGAUCUGAGAUAAUACCUAUUUAAAUUUAGUCUCGUUUCCCUAUCAGGCUUGAUUAGAAGAUGCACAUUUCGUAUUGUUUAGUAAUGGUGAUCAAGUGUGAUGAAUCCUGGAUAAAAUCAAAAUUACUUAAAAUGAACUUCUUAAUUUCAAGCUUUUCAGGACUCACUUCAUCUUUUCAUAGUUAAGUUGCUUUUACAGAAUUAACAGGUCUCCAAGAAAUUUUAAAAAGAUCUCUUCUAGGAGUGAGUCUCAAGAUGCUCUGAAGUGAUUGCACAGAGGUGAUCUUUUGAAGGGGAAAAUGAGCCUGACAAUGCUUUUUUAUGUGAAGAACAAAUAAGCAAAAAUACUUUUGUGCCUUUAUUCCUCCCUUUAAAAGGUAAGAGGGUUGGACAGUUACUCUUCAGAUGUGCUUGUUGAAGCCAGGCUGUGAUAUUUAGAUGCUCUAACAUUAGUUGGCUACUUGUGUUUGCAUCUAACUAUCAGUACAAAGCAAGCCUUAUUAUAAACCUACACUUAUUUCAUAGCAUACGGAUUAAAUCACACAAAACUGGUGAGAAUCCUGAUUUGCUCUUUACUAGCUAAGUGGCUGUGGUCAAGUUAAGUUACGUAAAGCCUCUAAACCUGUUUCUGUAGUUAUAAGAUGCGAAUAACCACAGCACCUACUUCAUAGGAUUCUGAGCAGUGAAUGAGAAAAUGCAUGUGAAGCUUUGGGUAUUCUGCACAGCAUAAGCAAUCAAAUGUUAGCACUAAUCAAUGUGAUGGUUAGCACACUUAAGUCACUUAACAUCACCAGUCAAAAUGAUACAGUAUUUCACGUAAUGGCCUUAUUAACUAGCUGUUAAUAAAUUAAUUCUUGGAACUUUACCAUGGUGAAUUUGUUAAGUUAAAAAUACAUAAUGAGAAAAACAUAAAAGUUGAGCUAUUUGGGACUGCACACAGUAACACGAGCCAUUGUAGUAUUCAAACUUAAGAUAUUUUUACCCAUACAGAUUAAUGCUUUCUUUUAAAUAUUUCCAUCUUAAGAGAAGAACUUAACUUAGAUAGAUACAGUCCUACCUCCAAAUCUUCUUCUUCAUCAAUCUUUUGUAUGUUUUGGUAGGCAGCAGUAUAGACCUCUAAAGCUUUGCCAUGAAAUAACAUUUCAAUAGUGAUAAAUUCUGAAAAUAUAGUCUAAAAAAAAAAAAAAACCACAAAGAUUUGAAUUUAAACAAUCAUAUGAAUUUGUGAAUUUAGUAAAUUUAUUCCUUAUUAUUGUUUUUGCAUUUUAUGAAAUACAGAGGUAUCUCUUUUUCCACAGGGCACAUCAAGUAUAAAAGAUAAUGGGAAUAAAAAUAGUUGAAAAGACUAGCACAACGUUGAAAUUAUAUAAAAUGUUUCUUAUCCCACCAUUUAAUUUCCUCCUAUUUUUUAAUAAGUCAGUUCUUUGUAUACCUUGUAAUUGAUAUUUGUGAUAAAAAAAAAGAUCUGACUAAAAUGUAUACCAUAUGUACUCUGUUACCAUAUGUCUCUAAAUAUUAGAUAAAGCAGGUCAGUUCUAAACCUGAUAUUUUAGUAACUCCAACUGAUGUUGAAACAAUAGUAUGUCUUUUUAGACAGGAAUUCUAUCCCAUCAUAUUUCUAUGUGUUACUUGUAUUCUCUAGCCACAAAGGACUUACUUGGUAAUUAUAUUGCUACUACUGAUAAUAGCACCAUGCAUUUGUGUAGAGCUUUUCCAGUUUAUGAAUACGUGACUUGCCUCCUGUUGCUCAUAGCUAGAAUGUUGUGACUUGGGUCUGAUUCUUCAAAGGUAAUAGCUCUUGCUUAUUGUACUGUGCUCUUCUUGCUGGAAUCCAUCAUUUCCUUCACAAAUAAACUAUGCAUGUAAACUCUAUGGAGCAUGAUGACAGCUUACAACAAGGAAGAUAAUGAGCUAAGAGAAUGAAUGGAGAUGUGCAUGUUGAUUUAAGCAGGGGUGAGAUAAUCGGUAGGUAAGGAAAGGAUACAAACCAGAACAGUUUUCAAUAAAAUAGGAUCUUAUCCUCUUGUUAAUUAUUUUGUCUCUUAUCAAAAUAAAAAAAUCAGAGCAUUAAUAUAGAGAGGAGUGGACAGAAUAAGAAUAAGCUAGAAAGUACCAAAGCAUUGUCCUUAAGGGGCAAGAGAAAAGAGAUGGGCUACAACAGACAAGAGUCAAAUACCCAUUUCUCUUUGUUGCUGCUCUCCUGUGUUAGUCAUCAAAUAGGAGUGGCCCUGCACUUUGGAAGACAGUGUUAUAGGUAUCCCUUAGUGUCCUGUGAUUUUUUUUUUCUCCUUCAUGUCCAUUCUUUCUUCCUUAAGAAUAUUUAAGGGAGUACUGAUAGGCUUCUGAUUACUACUCGAUGGAAACAGAUCAGUAGUUGAAAGUAUCCCUUCUGGCCUAAAAAGACUGGGCUCUGGGACAAGACACAAGUAUGACUACUUGUCACUUACUGUCACUUCAUAUAGGUCACAGAGGGUUCUGGUAUACUGGAAUGGCAACUGACUAAUAAGCAGUAUUAUGACCAAGAAUCUCUAGAUACCCAAGAAUGAAGUCGCUUUUGAUUAAGACUGGCACUUACUCACUUAGUUGUCCGUCUUCCUAAGAUAGCAGUCUAGCUAGAAAGGAGUCAAGUGCCCUUAGGAGUGUGAAAACUCCAAAAGGGAAAACAGCAGAAGAAGUCAAUGAUAUGCCAAAACACUUAAGAUUCCUACUUGGUUCUUGGUCUGCAGCUCAUUUUAGGCAAUGGGAAUAAUCAAGCAGAGGUUUACAACUUUCCUUCUGAAUCUUAAAUUUAGAGAUUUUCUACAUUUACUAAAUAAAGAACUAUGUAAAAAAUAUAGACAUAGCUUGACUUUCUUUUUAUUCAAGGCUGUUACAGAAAUUUGUUUUCAUUUAUUUAGGUUUAAUGUUUCAGCUAAGUACAGUAGAGAAUUAACAUUUUACAAUGUUACACAGUGCACUCUCUUUUUUAGUUUUUCUUUUUUGGGUAUUUAUAAAUCAUCUGUUUACUUACGUGGAUCUAUUAUGUGGAGAGAGAAGAUAAGGUAUUUGCUUUAUGCUAUAAAAAUACUUGAGAAAUAAAGUAGCCUCAAAUAAGGGAAUUAAGCUUAAUCAGUCAAAUGAGUUAGGUAUUACUCCUAUUUUUAAAUAUUUCUACAAGUGGACAUUCUAAAUCUUUAUAAUAGACUGUCACACUAUUUAAUAACUAGUGAAAUCCAAAUACUUACAACCUUAUUACACCUAAAUCAGUAGAUUAGGCUUAAUUCAAAUCUAUUCCACUGUGGUAACUUUGUGGAAUAUGCAAACAUUUCAAAAUAAUUUAAAACAUUUUUCAAGUAUCUGAAUAUAGUUAUUAAAUUUCUGACGGUCAGAAUCUCUGAAUGUAUCAUCUCUGAACUAACAAUUUUUUAAUACUAGCAUUUUAUAGGAUUUACAUUACCCUUAGCUCAUAAGUGAGCCCUGAAAAAUAUGUAGAUACGUCUGUCACUGAAGAAAGCUACAUUAUUUUUGUUUAUUCAUGUCCUCUGAUAAGAGAAUCUACUGCAUUCUCAUUUUAAAAAACACUGAUCAACUUUGAGUCUGUUACCACUUUCCAGUCUCAAUUUAGUUUCAAUUAAUAUAAGUACUUUACAAAUUCUCUUUAAUCUAUAAAUGGCUAUUAUUUACUAUGUGGAAGGUGGGGGGAGGGAAUCACUCUCAGGUUUUGUGAUACUUUGGUUUAAUCCUUUAUGGUUUGAACUUUUAUUUCUUGACAAAACCUAUAUUGUAACACCUAAAUAAGACGAGACUGGCCCUACUGAUUUUUUAUACUGUUUAUUUUUCUGUCAAAACCAUAAUGGGAAAUCAGAAGUACUGGUAAUCUAGUAUCCCAGACUUGGAAUUUUUGACCUAAGAGUUAUGAAGCCUAAAGAUUAUCAUAGAGAGUUAUAUCCCUGAGUAUAGCGAGGAGGGAAUACUGCCAAUUAAUUAUACUUUCUUUUUCUAGUUAGAAUUUCACAAAACAUCUGAAGAUAGGCAGAAGGAAGGAGACUAAUAGCAAGGAACAGAAAAGUUAGGUGACACCUAGUAUAAGAAGAACAUAAAAAGCAUGUUUUUGAAAUUAAAUAGUUUCAGUGAAUCACCAGAAGGGUGGUGGAACUUUUUAGGACCCAAUCAUACUUAGAAAUAAUUUUCCCCAAAUAAAUUUAGCCUAACUUUCAGUGAUCUCAUGUAAUCUUAUCUGCAGUGGGUGAGUAUCAUCAGGGACAGACACAUUAAUGAGUUAUUUUUUUUUUCCCCUUUUCAAUUUUAUUUUGUAUGACUAGAGGGCAAUUUGGGCAUGUACUUAAUUUUUACUGGUAGGAGAUGGGGGAGCUAAUCUGAAAUUCUCUAUUGACAAGUAUUCUGUAAAGCAGGAUAGUAUAUAGGAGUUAAGAUUAUGGGCUCUGGAUUAAGAUAAAUGUGGGUUCCAAUCAUGACCGAACAUAACAGUUAUAUAAUAUAAGCAGUUUAUCUGUACUUUUCCUUAAUCUUUCUCAUCUGUACAAUGGGGGAUAAGAACAGUAUCAAACUCAUAAGUUUGGGGGUGAAGGAUUAAAUGAGAGAAUCCAAGAAAAGGUAUAGUAUGGUGACUGACUUAGAGUAAGUGCUCAACACAAGUUAGCUAUUUUUAUCACUCAAGAAGUAAACUUGCUAAGUUAGAAAAUGUUCCUUAUGUUAAUAUUAAAGCCCCUACCUGGUUUAAUUAGCAAGCAACACUUUUAACAAAAAAGUCAUGAAAGUUCUGACUAAUAACAUUUUGGCAAAUAAAGGGGAAAUAAUGACUCCAGAGUAGAGGCUAUUCAAUAAGUGAUGCCAGGAGAACUUUUAUCUACUUGAAAAGAAUAAAGCUAGAUAUCUACCUCAUACCAUAUGCAAAACACAACUGCCAGAUAAAAUGUUUAAAUAUUUAAAAUAUUUUUAAAACUUACAAAUACUACAAGAAAAUAUAAGCAAGUAUUUACAAUCUUGAGGAUGAAAACAACCUUUCAAACAUGACACCAAGUAUGAAACCAAAAAAGAGACCAACAGAUCUGGCAACAAACGUAAAACUUUAUGGCACAAACACACCAUAAACAACAAAAUGGGAAAAUACAUUUGCGACAUUUCUCUUCAAUAUAAAAGGUUAAUUCUCUCAAUAUAAGGAUUUUUUACAAAUUAAUAAGCAAACUGCCAACACUCAAUAAAAAUACAGGCUAAGGACAAGUGUGGGUAAUUUACUAAAGAAGAAAUAAAUGUAUUAUUAAAUAUAUGAAAAAAUAUUGUCUUAAUAGUAGUAAGUGCAAAUUAAGAUUACACCGAUUUUUUUCACCUAUCAGACUAAUUAUUAAAAAGACUACUACUCAUCAUUGGUAUACUGGGUUGCUCAUGCAGGUUUUAUAGAAAUGUAAACCGGUUAAAACUUUGUGGGCAGGAGUUUAAAGCUUUGUGGACAGAAGGUAUCAAAAUUUAAAGGGUGUUAUGCUCUUUGAAUCAGAAAUACCACUCUGUUAAUUUAUCCCAAAAGAACAACUGGAUCAGCAAAAAGCCGAAUGUUUAAUGAUGCAAUGAGAUCUAUACCUGCAAAAAUAAUGUUGAUAUCACCAAUAAGGACUGGUUAGAUAAAGUAAUAUAUAUCCAUAGCAAAAGCUGUGAGGAUACCAAAAGGAUGAUACACAUCUGUUUCUUAGCAAAUGUCUGUGAUAUAUUAAAUUUUAAAAAGAGAUGCUACAUAUAGUGUGGUCCACUUAAAUAUAACUGUAUAGGGGUAAUGAUAUUACCUCCCUCAUAAAGAUGUUGUGAGGAGUAAGUGAGUGUAUCCACAUAAAAUGCCUAGAAUAUGUGACAUAGUCAACGCCUAAGAAAUAUUUAUUAUCCUAUCUCUUGUGUAUAUGUACAUAGAAAAAAGUUGUAAUGACAUAAACCAAAAUGCUAAUUUAUUAUUUCUCAGUAGUAGGAUUAUUAUACUUUCUUAAUAGUUUCAUGCAGAAAAUUUAUGGUUAUUUUAUAUUUAGUUAUAAGAAAAAUAAAACUAUUAAAAUUAAAUUUAGAAGAUGUUUCUUGUUCAUGUCAGCUACUUUGCCACAUACUGAAUUCCUGUUUCUCUCUGUUCCAGGAGUGACCCCCUGUUUAAGAUCCUUUCUGUAGGCCUGAAAUUCCCUUGACAUUCACCAUGUAACUGAUGAUUUUUCCUAUUAUAUGGGAAACAAAUGGGAUUGUGAUUUUUCAUCCACAUUCUGUACUCUUAAGUUCCAUACCAACUUUUCUCAAGCCAAUUUUUUGCAAGGUUCCUGUGAAGUCUUUAUCUAAAAAUUGUGCUACCUUGCUGAUUAAUUAAUUGUGCUACUUUUGCUACUACCAAAAUUCAGAUGGACUUGUCAGUUAAACCUACCUCCCACACAGUUGUACAGUAAUCAGCAGUGCUCACUCAUUUCUGCCCCCAGAGAGGUUAGAGGAGCCAGAAGUUCUGCCCCCUUCUGAACCAGUAGCCUGAUAAAAGAGUUGAUGUAAUUCCUACCAGAAUCCCACCUGAUUUCUUUAUAGAAACUGAGAAGCUGAUUCUAAAAUUCAUACAGAAUUACAACAGAUCUAGAAUAGCCAAAACAAUCUU